rnacentral:lncRNA from 1 species
GGGCCUCUUCAUGAGUUAAGGCUAUGUAAAUCUUAUGGGGUGGGCCUCUUCGUGAAUUAAGGUUUGUAUAAGUCAUAUGUUUUAAAUAAUAUCAUCUAGAUCAUACUUUAGUUCAUUCUCAUUGUUGAUGCAAAAUGAUUAUUUUUUGUAAAUAAAUAUAAAGUCUUAAACAGAAAAACAAUUAAAUAUGGUAAUAAGAGACGGGAAACAAUUGUCGUGUAUCUAGUUUUUUUAUGGAUAAAGUGCUUAUAUGGAAUAUUGAUAAUAUAUUACUGAUAUUUGUAUUCG